UCAGAAACUAGGUUCCGUGGUUUGUCACCUAUGCCAGGAGAGCAACGAGCAUACGAGUUAAUAAUUGAAGCUUUCACACUCGUCCAUGAACGAAACUAGAACUAGCGGAGGAGAUGUAGAGAACAUUUGGACUCUUCAGACCUUGCCAGCCAAAAACAGAGCCGAACAAGGUUGACGCGGGAGCAGCUACUGACGAUGGUUUACAGCGAGGAAUGACAGCGAAUGGUGCAAGAAAUCACUAAAGAGCAACGAGGAUCAGCUUUUCGUAAGGUUCUCUGUCCAUUUUCCCUUCUCUCUCUGAUUUUUUCUUUUAUCUCUCGUCCUUCUUGCUCUCUGUUAACCUUCCUCUAAGUGCCGGGAAUUCUGUAAUGGAUGAAGAUGGGCGGCGAUGAUCUACCGAAGGGUGCUGUAGCUGUUGAUGAUCGUGAAUCAUUGAGAGAGAAAUUGUGGGCGUUUGAACAGAAAAAGUUAGCCCAAAGCAACUUUUUGCUUAAUGGGAUUAGUUGGUGAUGUGACU
rnacentral:lncRNA from 1 species